rnacentral:ribozyme from 13 species
AAAAAGACAAAAAAAAAAAGAAACACUAUCUCCUCCCUUCUCUUUAAGCAUCUUUCUUCUUCUUCUCAGAGGACUUCUUCUUUUCUUUCCCAUCCUUCCCUUCCUUUUCC